AUUCCAGUUGAUCCUGCUGGCGGCUGCGGCUCUCUGGUUUGCGAUUAGACAUGCAAGUCUUUUUGUUGAUUCUUUGAAUUAGUGAAAGGCAAACUGCUCAGUAACACGUAGCUAACCUACCCUUAGGUCAGGGAUACCGUCGGGAAACUGACGUUAAUACCUGAUAAGAGAUAUACCCUGGAAUGAUUUAUCUCUGAAACUCGAGCCUAAGGAUGGGGCUGCGGCGGAUUAGGUUGUUGGCGGGGUAACUGCCCACCAAGCCUAAGAUCCGUAAGGGCUCUUAGCGGAGAGGCCCUGAGAGGGAAUCUGAGACACUAUUCCCAGCCCCACGGGGUGCAGCAGUUAGGAAUAAUCUACAAUGCGCGCAAGCGUGAUAGUUUGAGCCAGAGUGCGUUCCAAUUGGAAUGCUUUUGCCAAAUGUAAAAAG
rnacentral:rRNA from 1 species